UACGGAGGGAGCUAGCGUUGUUCGGAAUUACUGGGCGUAAAGCGCACGUAGGCGGCUUUGUAAGUCAGAGGUGAAAGCCUGGAGCUCAACUCCAGAACUGCCUUUGAGACUGCAUCGCUUGAAUCCAGGAGAGGUGAGUGGAAUUCCGAGUGUAGAGGUGAAAUUCGUAGAUAUUCGGAAGAACACCAGUGGCGAAGGCGGCAUCCUGGACCAACACUGACGCUGAGGAGCGAAAGCCAGGGGAGCAAACGGG
rnacentral:rRNA from 1 species